UACAGAGGUCCCGAGCGUUGUUCGGAUUCACUGGGCGUAAAGGGUGCGUAGGUGGUGAGGUAAGUCGGAUGUGAAAUCUCCGGGCUCAACCCGGAAAUGGCAUUGGAAACUACCUUGCUGGAGGAUUUGAGGGGGGAUUGGAAUACUUGGUGUAGCAGUGAAAUGCGUAGAUAUCAGGAGGAACACCGAUGGCGAAGGCAGGUCACUGGGCCGCAACUGACGCUGAGGAGCGAAAGCAUGGGGGAGCGAACAGG
rnacentral:rRNA from 1 species